rnacentral:rRNA from 1 species
GACGAACGCUGGCGGCGUGCUUAACACAUGCAAGUCGAACGGAAAGGCCCUGCUUUUGUGGGGUGCUCGAGUGGCGAACGGGUGAGUAACACGUGAGUAACCUGCCCUUGACUUUGGGAUAACUUUAGGAAACUGGGGCUAAUACCGGAUAGGAGCUCCUGCUGCAUGGUGGGGGUUGGAAAGUUUCGGCGGUCGGGGAUGGACUCGCGGCUUAUCAGCUUGUUGGUGGGGUAGUGGCUUACCAAGGCUUUGACGGGUAGCCGGCCUGAGAGGGUGACCGGCCACAUUGGGACUGAGAUACGGCCCAGACUCCUACGGGAGGCAGCAGUGGGGAAUAUUGCACAAUGGGCGGAAGCCUGAUGCAGCAACGCCGCGUGCGGGAUGACGGCCUUCGGGUUGUAAACCGCUUUCGCCUGUGACGAAGCGUGAGUGACGGUAAUGGGUAAAGAAGCACCGGCUAACUACGUG